AACGAACGCUGGCGGCAUGCCUAACACAUGCAAGUCGAACGAGACCUUCGGGUCUAGUGGCGCACGGGUGCGUAACGCGUGGGAACCUGCCCUUAGGUUCGGAAUAACUCCCCGAAAGGGGUGCUAAUACCGGAUAAUGUCUUCGGACCAAAGAUUUAUCGCCUUUGGAUGGGCCCGCGUUGGAUUAGCUAGUUGGUAGGGUAAAAGCCUACCAAGGCGACGAUCCAUAGCUGGUCUGAGAGGAUGAUCAGCCACACUGGGUCUGAGACACGGCCCAGACUCCUACGGGAGGCAGCAGUGGGGAAUAUUGGACAAUGGGCGAAAGCCUGAUCCAGCAAUGCCGCGUGAGUGAUGAAGGCCUUAGGGUUGUAAAGCUCUUUUACCCGGGAUGAUAAUGACAGUACCGGGAGAAUAAGCUCCGGCUAACUCCGUGC
rnacentral:rRNA from 1 species